rnacentral:rRNA from 1 species
AUGAAAACAUGUUUGCAGGUUGAAUCAUUUCUCUUAUCUAACUUUUCAGGUGAUACAUCAUCAACCGACUGGGAUAAGGCUUGGUCUAGUUUUAAGAAGAAAGGGAAGAAGACCCUAUUCUCAGAGUUCUCACCGAACAAAUAUGUGACCUGUAACCCACGGCGCAUUGAGUAUCCAUUGUCAGAAGAAGUCGAUCCAAUCAAAAGAGCCGAGAGGUCUAACUUGAUGUUGUGAACAAGCCCAAUAUGUACCUUAGUAGGGGUGAUUAUCUUCGUUUCGGCAUUUCUUAUCUAUACAUUGGUUGUCCCACCCAAGUAA